CCCUUAGAUGUUCUGGGCGGCCCGCGCACUACAAUGGCGUGUGCAGCGAGUGCCGAAGUAGAGUUUUCCGAGGUAUUCUUGCAAUGCUCGUUUUGAUGGGGAUAGACCCUUGCAACUGUUGGUUUUGAACGAGGAAUUCCUUGUAAGCAUGGUUUAUCAUCCGACGCUGAAUGCGUCCCUGCCCUUUGUACACACCGCCCGUCGCUCCUACCGAUUGAAUGUGUUGGUGAGGAGCUCGGAUUGGCAGCAGUUGGUGGUUCGCCACCGGCUAUUGCUGAGAAGUCCUCCAAACCGCCCCAUUUAGAGGAAGGAGAAGUCGUAACA
rnacentral:rRNA from 1 species